AGCUACUCAACAGUGGGGUCAUAAGAACGGAAUGUCAUAAGGGAGAAGAUGGCCAUCUAUGAACCAGGAAGCCCUCACUAGACCCCAAGUCUGCCAGCACCUCGAACUUGGAUUCCUCAGUCUUCACAACAGUGUGAGAGUCAUUCAGGACUCCAGGUUCCUUCCAUCUUCUGGCUCCUUCACCUCCUACAGCACGUCCUCCGCACAGUCAAAGUUCUUGGGAGAAUCAGGACAGGUGUGGAUGCAAAGUGGUUCAUAUCAACUGCUCCUACAUGCUGGACUUGAAAGAAGACCCUAGGGCCAGUCGGCCUAGGGAUAUUCAGCUAAUUGAAGAGAAAAUAUGAUGAAAGGGUUUUCCUUUAAAUUCAAAAUAAAAGCAAAUAAGUUGAAGGUCA
rnacentral:lncRNA from 10 species